rnacentral:rRNA from 1 species
AUUGAACGCUGGCGGCAGGCCUAACACAUGCAAGUCGAACGGCAGCACAGAAGAGCUUGCUCUUUGGGUGGCGAGUGGCGGACGGGUGAGUAAUGUCUGGGAAACUGCCCGAUGGAGGGGGAUAACUACUGGAAACGGUAGCUAAUACCGCAUAACGUCGCAAGACCAAAGUGGGGGACCUUCGGGCCUCACACCAUCGGAUGUGCCCAGAUGGGACUAGCUAGUAGGUGGGGUAAUGGCUCUCCUAGGCGACGAUCCCUAGCUGGUCUGAGAGGAUGAGCAGCCAAACUGGAACUGAGACACGGUCCAGACUCCUACGGGAGGCAGCAGUGGGGAAUAUUGCACAAUGGGCGCAAGCCUGAUGCAGCCAUGCCGCGUGUAUGAAGAAGGCCUUCGGGUUGUAAAGUACUUUCAGCGGGGAGGAAGGCAGUGAGGUUAAUAACCUCGCCGAUUGACGUUACCCGCAGAAGAAGCACCGGCUAACUCCGUGCCAGCAGCCGCCGUAA